CCUGAUAUUGAACAUGCUUAUUCGUCUGAUUCGCCUGAAACAUGGAUGGAUGGAUGUUGAAUAUGUGAAUUGUCAGUGCCGUCAUGAUAUUUCAUGAGACAAUCGAACAUAUAUAUAAAUGGAAAAGCACAUAGAGAAGAAGAAAUCGAAAGAUGAUCGCUAGGUUACUUACCAAAGGGCUUACUUUGAAAGGAUUAUAUAUAUGCUGAAUAAUUUCGAAAACAAAUGCAUAAUGAAGAUGUGAACGUAGCUUAUGCUCUAAGGCUUUACAUGUACAAUUGUAGGACCAAUUUUAAUUCUUACAGUAGCAUAUGGAGAGGAUUCAGUGUCGGGAAGGAGCAAUAAUGAAUCAACACCUGAGCAUAUGCACAGGAUUCAGUGUCGGGAAGAAGCAAUAAUGAAUGAACAUCUGAGCAUAUGGAGAGGAUCUAGUGUCGGAAAGGAGGAAGAAUGAAUCAAUACGCGCGCGGUACCUAAGUUGGUUGGAAUUAAUGUAUUACCGAAAUCAGAGAAGUUGAUAUUACAAAGGGAAGGAGACGUAGAAUACAUGGAGCAAUUUGAAACAGUGACAGAAGAACCUGCAACUGAUUUGUGAUUAAUUAAAUUGUGUUUCGGUGUUCAUAAGAGAACUGGUUAAAAUUCUUAUUUUACAAAAUA